rnacentral:rRNA from 1 species
AUGCAUCAGAAAGAUAGCAAGAAACCACAGUAUAUAACACAACAGCAAAGACAAACUGAAUUCAGGCUCACUUAUUCAUUGUUCACCAAAGCUGCUGCACACCAGCAGAAGUUCGAAGAUACAAAUGGUAACACUGCAUCAAUGUACGGUACAGAAACAAAGACAGGAUCAGGCAACCGCAGACACAAACGAGACUCAAUGAAGGACACCAAAGACCAGACUUGCGGACCCAGAGACCAAAGCAGAGCUCCAUGGCCAGGAGCUUUACUGGCCACCACGGAGACGGAGCACCAAGUGAAGGGUGGACUCCUUCUGGAUGUUGUAGUCCGCCAGGGUGCGGCCAUCCUCAAGCUGCUUACCAGCAAAGAUCAGGCGCUGCUGGUCCGGGGGGAUGCCCUCCUUGUCCUGGAUCUUCGCCUUCACGUUGUCAAUGGUGUCAGAUGACUCCACCUCCAGGGUGAUGGUCUUGCCCGUGAGGGUCUUCACAAAUAUCUGCAUGCCACCACGGAGCCUGAGCACCAAGUGGAGGGUGGACUCCUUCUGGAUGUUGUAGUCCGCAAGGGUGCGGCCAUCCUCGAGCUGCUUGCCAGCAAAGAUGAGACGCUGCUGGUCCGGGGGGAUGCCCUCCUUGUCCUGUAUCUUUGCCUUGACAUUGUCGAUGGUGUCAGAGGACUCAACCUCAAGGGUGAUGGUCUUGCCAGUAAGGGUCUUCACGAAGAUCUGCAUCUGUAAAUACAAAGCAGACAGAACCAGAGUAAGUUGCCGGUAAGGGUCUUCACGAAGAUCUGCAGUAUGUCAAACAAUAGAUGAACCAGAUGGCACCAUGCUAAAAAAAUGAAAUUGCAACAGAGAUGAAAUCAGCAAACUGCCCAGGAGCUGCCCCAGUACAAGAAGCCAAUGAAUUGACAUAGCAUGCAAUGCUAAAUUUUAGCUUAACUAUAUAUUAGCAUAUCUACCAGCGCAAUCUUUACCUUCAGUGGGAGCAUACGUAAUCUAAAGUUGUACCGAGAAGGUGGUUAAGAAGUCAAGGAAACAACAGUAAUAUCGCAAACCGACAUGAACUGAAGAGUUGAAUUGAUGCACAACUAAGUAUACUCCAAGCGACUAGAAAGCCGGUAGCAAAUCACAGGUGUAUCCCUUAACAGCGCUUCAGAAUCAGAAAUUAGCAUAACUAUAACUACAUAGAAUAAUCGAAUCAACAGGAUCGCAUCCCAAUAACACCACGACCACGAAGGUGUAUCCUUGGACAGAUCAGGCAUGUAGGUGUAUCAUGAGCGGUACAAAAUCAUAAAUCCGCAAUAAUACAACUACAACCGAUGAGAUGAACCGACCCAACAGCAAUCGCAUCGGAAUCGUCAGAUCUACUCGAAAAUCAUGGCAUGAUCAAGAGAUUUAACAAGAAUCGAGCCUAAUCAACAUCGACUAACUGAACGAGCUUCAAUCGAUCAACAACAAUAGCGCCUCAACCCACCCACAGAUCUACUCCGAACGAUUAACAGGAAUCGAGGGGAACCAACAAGAACCGAUCAGGGUAGUCCUAGCAACGAUCCCAGGGCACGCACGCACGCACAUGGCGAGAAGGUGGGGAAGAAAUCGGAGGCUCGCAUCGCAUACCUUGAGGAGGAGGACGAGAGAGCCUUCGCCUCGCUUCGAUCGGAGAGAUUUCCCGGCGAGAUCGGAUGGGGGGCUGGAUUGGAUUGGAU